rnacentral:tRNA from 1 species
GUGGGUAUAGCUCAGUGGUAGAACAUAUGCUUAGCGUGCAUUAAGUCCUGGGUUCUAUCCCCAGUACCUCCG